rnacentral:tRNA from 4 species
GCCGGUGUAGUUCAAUGGUAGAACGAGGGACUCAUAAGCCCUAGAAAAAGGUCCGAUUCCUUUCACCGGCAUCA